ensembl:lncRNA
CAACAACAACAUCAGCAGCACAUCAGAAAUACAUCUGCCAAGGAUAGUGGGUGUGAGCUGUGAGAAUAAGCCCAGUUCUCAAUUUAAGGUUUUACUCAAAAAAGAGAGCAGUGAUGAAUUUCAGCCCAUGCAGGGACAAACCAGACCGAGAGUGAACAGAGAGAAAUCCCUACAACAGAUAUCAGUACCUGAACUGCAGGAGAACGAGCCUCAGAGGAAAGAAAGCCAUCCACGCACACCGAUUGAAGGGUCGGCAGCUGUUACACUCCCAAGUGACUGCUUCACUCAGCGCAACUCACUCUUCAGCAAGGAAGUACUGCAGGCUGAGGCAUGGAUCAAAGGCAAGCUACAGGACUUGAAGGAUGGAUGUAAUAUUCAGUGCUGCCCCCUGGAGGAUUGGGAAGACGCCUCACAAAUGCUUCAGAGAGAUCUUAAAGACUUUGAGAACACCCUGAUUCAACUCAACCAGAUGGGUGAGCAGCUGAUCUGUAAACUGAAUCCCACAUCUGAUUUGGUAAAGAAGCAGCUCAGUCAGCUCAGGGACCAGUGGCAGACCCUCAAACAGAUGGCUGCAAAUCAGAUGAGGGCUCUAGGAGGAGCCAAGAACCUGCAGGAAUUCAACAAAAAGGUGGACAAGCUGGAGGCAUGGAUUAAAGAGAAGCAGGAAGAGGAACAGUGUCUGGUGAAUGUCCUGGGGGAAAAUGUUGACAAAAUGCAGUUGACUAGAAGAAUUUUAGAUCUGAAACAGGAUGAGCAGCUACACAGAAAUCUCCAUGAGGAAA